GACGAACGCUGGCGGCGUGCCUAAUACAUGCAAGUUGAGCGCUGAAGGUUGGUACUUGUACCGACUGGAUGAGCAGCGAACGGGUGAGUAACGCGUGGGGAAUCUGCCUUUGAGCGGGGGACAACAUUUGGAAACGAAUGCUAAUACCGCAUAAAAACUUUAAACACAAGUUUUAAGUUUGAAAGAUGCAAUUGCAUCACUCAAAGAUGAUCCCGCGUUGUAUUAGCUAGUUGGUGAGGUAAAGGCUCACCAAGGCGAUGAUACAUAGCCGACCUGAGAGGGUGAUCGGCCACAUUGGGACUGAGACACGGCCCAAACUCCUACGGGAGGCAGCAGUAGGGAAUCUUCGGCAAUGGACGAAAGUCUGACCGAGCAACGCCGCGUGAGUGAAGAAGGUUUUCGGAUCGUAAACUCUGUUGGUGGAGAAGAACGUUGGUGAGAGUGGAAAGCUCAUCAAGUGACGGUAACUACCCAGAAAGGGACGGCUAACUACGUG
rnacentral:rRNA from 1 species